rnacentral:rRNA from 1 species
CAGUUGCCACGGUAAUACGGAGGAUCCAAGCGUUAUCCGGAAUCAUUGGGUUUAAAGGGUCCGUAGGCGGUCUUGUAAGUCAGUGGUGAAAGCCCAUCGCUCAACGGUGGAACGGCCAUUGAUACUGCAGGACUUGAAUUAUUGGGAAGUAACUAGAAUAUGUAGUGUAGCGGUGAAAUGCUUAGAGAUUACAUGGAAUACCAAUUGCGAAGGCAGGUUACUACCAAUUGAUUGACGCUGAUGGACGAAAGCGUGGGUAGCGAACAGGAUUAGAUACCCCAGUAGUCCCUGUCUCUUAUAC